UACGUAGGGGGCAAGCGUUGUCCGGAAUCAUUGGGCGUAAAGCGCACGUAGGCGGCCCGGUAAGUCCGUUGUGAAAGUCAGAGGCUCAACCUCUGGAGGCCAAUGGAUACUGCCGGGCUAGAGUCCGGAAGAGGCGAGUGGAAUUCCUGGUGUAGCGGUGGAAUGCGCAGAUAUCAGGAGGAACACCGAUGGCGAAGGCAGCCCCCUGGGCUAACACUGACGCUCAGGCACGAAAGCGUGGGGAGCGAACAGG
rnacentral:rRNA from 1 species